rnacentral:rRNA from 1 species
AACGAACGCUGGCGGCAUGCCUAACACAUGCAAGUCGAACGAGACCUUCGGGUCUAGUGGCGCACGGGUGCGUAACGCGUGGGAACCUGCCCUUAGGUUCGGAAUAACUCCCCGAAAGGGGUGCUAAUACCGGAUAAUUUCUUCGGACCAAAGAUUUAUCGCCUUUGGAUGGGCCCGCGUUGGAUUAGCUAGUUGGUAGGGUAAAAGCCUACCAAGGCGACGAUCCAUAGCUGGUCUGAGAGGAUGAUCAGCCACACUGGGACUGAGACACGGCCCAGACUCCUACGGGAGGCAGCAGUGGGGAAUAUUGGACAAUGGGCGAAAGCCUGAUCCAGCAAUGCCGGGUGAGUGAUGAAGGCCUUAGGGUUGUAAAGCUCUUUUACCCGGGAUGAUAAUGACGGUACCGGGAGAAUAAGCUCCGGCUAACUCCGUG